rnacentral:rRNA from 1 species
CUGGGUUGAUCCUGCCAGUAGCAUAUGCUUGUCUUAAAGAUUGAGCCAUACACAUGUACACACAGCCAUUACAGUAACACUGCAAAUGGUUCAUUGAAUUAGUGAUGGUUCCUUUGAUGGCUCCAUCACUUACUUGGAUAACUUUGGUUAAUCUACAACAAAUACAGGGUAUCAAAUGCUGACCUCCCGCAAUGUAUGCAUUUAUCAGACCAAGACCAAUCCAGGUUUGCACAGCUGAUUUGGUGACUCUCUCUAAGCUUGGGUAAAUAGGCACGUUCACGUGAUGGCAAUGAUACAUUCUGAUGUCUGCCCUAUCAACUUUUGAUGGUGCUUACCAUGAUGAUCACAGUUAACUCGGAAUCAGAAUAAAUUCCAGAGAGGGAGACUGAGAAAUGACUACCAUAUCAAAGGAAGGCAGCAAGCGCACAAAUGACCCCCUCCUGACUCGGGGAGUUAGUGCCGAUAAUUAAUAAUACAGGACUCUUUCAAGGCCAUGUAAUUGGAAUGUGUACACAUUAAAUUCUUUAACAAGGAUUCAUUGGAGGGCAAGUCUGGUGCCAGCAGCCAUGGUAAUUCCAGCUCCAAUAGCGUAUGUUAAAGUUGCUGCACUUAAAAGGUUGUAAUUGAAUCAUGUGAUCAAGCUGGCGGUCUGGCGCGAGGCGUGCUAACACCUGUCCCAGCCCCUGCCUCUUGGUGCCAUCUAAAUGCUCCUGGGGGUACAAAGUGUUUAUUUUGAAAAUAUUAGAGUGAUCAAAGCAGGCCAGUAACCUGAAUAUUUGAGCUAGGAAUGAUGGAAAAGGACUUCAGUUACAUUUUGUUUGUUUUGGGAACUGGGGCAUUGAUUUGAGAGAUUGUGCUGCUAGAGGUGAAAUUCUUGGACCGUCAUACUUCUGACCACAAACUAUGCCAACGAGCAAUGCAGUUGCGUUAUUCCCAAACACCCGCCGAGCACCUUCCGGGAAAGAAAAGACUUUGGGUUCCAGGGGGAGUAUGGUUGCAAAGCUGGAAUUUAACAGAACAGACGGAAGGGCACCACCAGAAGUGGAGCCUGCGGCUAAAUUUGAUUCAACACAGGGAACCUCACCCGAUUCAUAGCUCUUUCUCGAUUCUGUGUGUGGAGGUGCAUGGAAUUCAAAUUCUUAGAGGGACAAGUGGUGUUCAGCCACAAGAGAUCGAGCAAUAACAUGUAUUUGAUGCCCUUAGAUGUCCGGGGCUGCAUGUGUGCUACACUAAACCAAUCAGCAUGUGUCUCCCCUUAGCCGACAGGUGCGGGUAACCCAUUGAACCCUGCUCAUUAUAGGGAUUAGGGAUUGCAAUUAUUUCCCAUGAGCAAGGAAUUCCCAAUAAGUGCAGAUUAUUGGCUCACAUUGAUUUAGCCCCUGCACUUUGUACACACCAUCGAUUACUUCUACUGAUUGGAUAUUUAAGUGAGGGCUUUGUAUCGACCCCACUGGUGUGGGAACAGCCCUGGAAGAGCACCAAGAAGCCAAUCAAACUUGACUAUUUAGAGGAACUAAGAGUCAUAACAAGGUUUCCGUAGAUGAACCUGCAGAAG